AGCUUGUUGGUGAGGUAAUGGCUCACCAAGGCUACGACGGAUAGCUGGUCUGAGGGGAUGAUCAGUCACACUGGAAUUGAGAUACGGUCCAGACUCCUACGGGAGGCAGCAGUUAGGAAUCUUCCACAAUGGGCGAAAGCCUGAUGGAGCAAUACCGCGUGGGGGAUGAAGGCCGAAAGGUUGUAAACUCCUUUUCUGUCUUACUAAGUUCUGAAGAGGACAGGAAUAAGUCACGGCUAAUUACGUGCCAGCAGCCGCGGUAAUACGUAAGUGGCAAGCAUUACCCGAAAUUACUGGGCGUAAAGCGUCUGUAGGCGUUGAUAAAAGUUGGAUAUUAAAUCUUAAGGCUCAACCUUAAGGCUGUAUUCAAAACUUUAUCAACAGAGAAUAUUAGAGGCCAGUGGAAUUCUGCAAGUAGGGAUUAAAUCCGUAGAUAUGCAGAGGAACACCAAAAGCGAAGGCAGCUGGCUGGGAUAUUUCUGACGCUGAGAGACGAAAGCGUGGGUAGCGAAAAGGAUUAGAUACCCUUGUAGUCCACGCCCUAAACGAUGGAUACUCGGUGUUGUUUUUUGAUACGUUCGAUAGCAGCGCCUUAGCUAACGCGUUAAGUAUCCCGCCUGGGGACUACGGUCGCAAGACUAAAACUCAAAGGAAUUGGCGGGGGCUCACACAAGCGGUGGAGCAUGUCGUUUAAUUCGUCAGUACGCGAAGAACCUUACCCGGGUUUGACAUCCCGAGAAUCCCGCAGAAACGUGGGAGUGCCCUUUAUGGGAAUUCGGUGACAGGUGCUGCAUGGUUGUCGUCAGCUCGUGUCGUGAGAUGUAUGGUUAGGUCCUAGAACGAGCGCAACCCUCAUCCUAUGUUGUAUAUUUCAUGGGACACUGCCUUGGUUAACGGGGAGGAAGGAGAGGAUGACGUCAAAUCAGCAUGGCCCUUAUGUCCGGGGCGACAGACGUGCUACAAUGGCCGGUACAAUGAGUUGCAAAAUCGCGAGAUGGAGCUAAUCUUCAAAGCCGGUCUCAGUCCGGAUCGAAGGCUGAAAUUCGCCUUCGUGAAGUUGGAAUCGCUAGUAAGCGUGAAUCAGCCAUGUCACGCUGAAUAUGUUCCUGAGCCUUGCACACACCGCCCGUCACACCAUGGAAGUUAGGGGUGCCUGAAGUGCUGUUAUACAGUACCACGGUAAAACUAAUGACUGGGGUGAAGUCGUAACAAGGUAUCCGUAGGAGAACCUGCGGAUG
rnacentral:rRNA from 1 species